AUUGAACGCUGGCGGCAGGCCUAACACAUGCAAGUCGAGCGGAUGAAGGGAGCUUGCUCCUGGAUUCAGCGGCGGACGGGUGAGUAAUGCCUAGGAAUCUGCCUGGUAGUGGGGGAUAACGUCCGGAAACGGGCGCUAAUACCGCAUACGUCCUGAGGGAGAAAGUGGGGGAUCUUCGGACCUCACGCUAUCAGAUGAGCCUAGGUCGGAUUAGCUAGUUGGUGGGGUAAAGGCCUACCAAGGCGACGAUCCGUAACUGGUCUGAGAGGAUGAUCAGUCACACUGGAACUGAGACACGGUCCAGACUCCUGCAGGAGGCCGCAGUGGGGAAUAUUGGACAAUGGGCGAAAGCCUAAUCCAGCCAUGCCGCGUGUGUGAAGAAGGUCUUCGGAUUGUAAAGCACUUUAAGUUGGGAGGAAGGGCAGUAAGUUAAUACCUUGCUGUUUUGACGUUACCAGCAGAAUAAGCACCGGCUAACUUCGUG
rnacentral:rRNA from 1 species